UACUCGAAUGAGUAGCUGCCGUCUGCGUUCACUUGGCUGUUGGACGACACAAUUUCGAUGGGCUUCUUAUCUCCUUGAGGUGCGGCGAGGGCCACGGCCAAGAAAGAGACAGCGACGAUCUGGCAGUGCAUCAAGUCAAAAUAAAAGGUUGUUUAGCUGCUCUUCUGAAGACAGACGAAGGAAUUGUGUGAAGAAGAUAGCGAUGUUGGCCAACUUUUAUACCUGGCAACUUCUAAUGGAUGAAAGUGAUCGGCAAAGACCUUCCACAGGGAGAAGAGAACUAUGGAAGAAGGUUGUUGUUUGCUGUUUGUGGCCACUUCUCCAUUCCCCGACUAUCAGCCCACGAGAGUUGGGAACGUUACAAGAUCCAAGGACAUAUCUCCAAGUCGAUCACGACGCGCUGUACGGUUGAGCUGAUUGCUUCUUUCCUA